UAAGUGAGGGAAUAGAUAGAGCAAGUGAAUGAAGAGAAACAAGCACUGACACUGCAGUUCAAAAGUGCUCACAAUAUUAAUGCUUUGAGUAAUAAAAACACGUGUAAUAACAAUAAGUGUAUUAUCAUAUUCUCCUUUGGGUAGAUACUACAACAAUACAAACAAUCAUCGAUGCAUAAUACCUUAGUGAUAAUUGUACAUCUCUAAUAAGACAGGUUUCGUUAUCUUUGGAUAUCUGAACAAAUAAAAAUGAAAUAUACAAUUCUCACCACAUUCAUAUCAUCAAUCAUAUGAGCAAUUAGUCUACCUUUGGGUGACCCUUAAGAACUUAUGACAAAUGAAAAACAUAUUACUCAUGUACAAACCUUUAAAACAUAAUAAGGUUUUGU
rnacentral:lncRNA from 1 species